rnacentral:rRNA from 1 species
CUUUCCAUUAGCUCCCAGUGAGAUUACACAUGCAAGCAUCUACAGCCCUGUGAGAAUGCCCUCUACCAAAACAUNNNNGAGGAGCGAGUAUCAAGCACGCACCUAUGCAGCUCAAAACACUUUGCUUAGCCACGCCCCCACGGGAAACAGCAGUGACAAACAUUUAGCAAUGAACGAAANGUUUAACUAAGCUACACUGAUCAUUAGAGUUGGUCAAUUUCGUGCCAGCCACCGCGGCCAUACGAUUGACUCAAGUUAAUGGAGCUCGGCGUAAAGGGUGUUUAAGAACUCUACCCAAAUGUAAUAAAGCUAACCUGUAACUAAGUCGUAAAAAACCACAGUUACAGUGAAAUAUGCUACGAAAGUGGCUUUAGUACUCUGAAUACACUAUAGCUAAGGAACAAACUGGGAUUAGAUACCCCACUAUGCUUAGCCCUAAACCUCAAUAAAUCAACCAACAAACUUAUUCGCCAGAACACUACAAGCAACAGCUUGAAACUCAAAGGACCUGGCGGUGCUUUACAUCCGUCUAGAGGAGCCUGUUCUAUAAUCGAUACACCCCGAUAAACCUCACCACCUCUUGCCAUCAGCCUGUAUACCGCCAUCUUCAGCAAACUCCUUAAUGAUUGCAAAGUAAGCAGAAGUAUCAUCAUAAAAACGUUAGGUCAAGGUGCAGCCAAUGACGUGGGAAGAAAUGGGCUACAUUUUCUGAAUCAGAAAACUAUACGAUANCCCCUUAUGAAAUU